GAAACUCAAAUGAAUUGACGGGACCCGCACAAGCGGUGGAUGAUGUGGUUUAAUUCGAUGCAACGCGAAAACCUUACCACCUUGACAUGGCAGGAAUCCUAAAGAGAUUUGGGAGUGCUCGAAAGAGAACCUGCACACAGGUGCUGCAUGGCUGUCGUCAGCUCGUGUCGUGAGAUGUUGGGUUAAGUCCCGCAACGAGCGCAACCCUUGCCAUUAGUUGCUACGAAAGGGCACUCUAAUGGGACUGCCGGUGACAAACCGGAGGAAGGUGGGGAUGACGUCAAGUCCUCAUGGCCCUUAUAGGUGGGGCUACACACGUCAUACAAUGGCCGGUACAGAGGGUAGCCAACCCGCGAGGGGGAGCCAAUCCCACAAAGCCGGUCGUAGUCCGGAUCGCAGUCUGCAACUCGACUGCGUGAAGUCGGAAUCGCUAGUAAUCGUGGAUCAGCAUGUCACGGUGAAUACGUUCCCGGGUCUU
rnacentral:rRNA from 1 species